CAGAAUGAAUAUUAACAGAGGCGUGAAACAUUCUCUGCACUCGUUGAGGAUAUGGCUAAUUGGAAGAGCAUAAUAAUAAACUCAAUUUCAUUGCCUUUCAAGUUACUAUGUGCAAAGGUAUGGAGGUCCCUAAAGUUUCUAGUGUUGAGUUCGGAGCUUCAAGGAGUCGACCCGCUCUUUGUUUUGUCCUCCUACAUGCUGAUCCCAAGAGAUCCAGAUAAUAAUCCAUUUACUAGGGAUUAUGCAAGCUAAUAUAGGUAUUUUCUUAAAUUUUGCAAUGCAGAUUUUUAUAUUCAAUGGAUGAGGAUAUGGCUCUUUUUCAGCUCUAUGGGUACGCUUGAUGUGCUUUACUGGAAUAAAUGAAUGUUUAGCAUGUUAUUCAUAUAGUCAUAUUUCAGCAUGUACGUAAUAUUUGGUUGAUCUUUCAUUUUUCUUUACAUGUGUAGCUCAAAUAACAUUAUGUUAAGUGUAUCUAGUUAAGGAAAAGAAACAUCUUUUAAAAUUA